GAACGCUGGCGGCGUGCCUAAUACAUGCAAGUCGAGCGAAUCGAUGGGAGCUUGCUCCCUGAGAUUAGCGGCGGACGGGUGAGUAACACGUGGGCAACCUGCCUAUAAGACUGGGAUAACUUCGGGAAACCGGAGCUAAUACCGGAUACGUUCUUUUCUCGCAUGAGAGAAGAUGGAAAGACGGUUUACGCUGUCACUUAUAGAUGGGCCCGCGGCGCAUUAGCUAGUUGGUGAGGUAAUGGCUCACCAAGGCGACGAUGCGUAGCCGACCUGAGAGGGUGAUCGGCCACACUGGGACUGAGACACGGCCCAGACUCCUACGGGAGGCAGCAGUAGGGAAUCUUCCGCAAUGGACGAAAGUCUGACGGAGCAACGCCGCGUGAACGAAGAAGGCCUUCGGGUCGUAAAGUUCUGUUGUUAGGGAAGAACAAGUACCAGAGUAACUGCUGGUACCUUGACGGUACCUAACCAGAAAGCCACGGCUAACUACGUGCCAGCAGCCGCGGUAAUACGUAGGUGGCAAGCGUUGUCCGGAAUUAUUGGGCGUAAAGCGCGCGCAGGUGGUUCCUUAAGUCUGAUGUGAAAGCCCACGGCUCAACCGUGGAGGGUCAUUGGAAACUGGGGAACUUGAGUGCAGAAGAGGAAAGUGGAAUUCCAAGUGUAGCGGUGAAAUGCGUAGAGAUUUGGAGGAACACCAGUGGCGAAGGCGACUUUCUGGUCUGUAACUGACACUGAGGCGCGAAAG
rnacentral:rRNA from 2 species